rnacentral:rRNA from 1 species
AACGCGAAGAACCUUACCAAGGCUUGACAUAUAGCGAAAAGUGGCAGAGAUGUCAUGUCCGCAAGGGCGCUAUACAGGUGGUGCAUGGUUGUCGUCAGCUCGUGUCGUGAGAUGUUGGGCUAAGUCCCGCAACGAGCGCAACCCUCGUUCUGUGUUACCAGCAUUCAGUUGGGGACUCACAGGAGACUGCCGGGGUCAACUCGGAGGAAGGUGGGGAUGACGUCAAAUCAUCAUGCCCCUUAUGUCUUGGGCUGCACGCAUGCUACAAUGGCCGAUACAAAGUGCUGCGAGAUCGUAAGAUUGAGCGAAUCACAUAAAGCCGGUCUCAGUUCGGAUUGAGGUCUGCAACUCGACCUCAUGAAGUCGGAGUUGCUAGUAAUCGUAGAUCAGCAACGCUACGGUGAAUACGUUCCCGGGUCUUGUACACACCG